rnacentral:snRNA from 1 species
ACGCUUCAUGCGAUCUUAAGACU